rnacentral:lncRNA from 1 species
UCUUUUUGACACUAGGAGCCACGGAACCCGCUGGUCCGCCGAGCUGCGGCGGGAACCCCGGCAGUGUGCUGAUGCAAGGAAAAAAAACUCUCUCUCUCUACUCCCGUAAGAAAAAACUCUCUUGCCUCUUCUCUCUCCUCGAUCCCCUUUCUUCACCUCACCGCGGCCGCCUGAUUCCGGUCAUCCCCGGAGUUCCACGCCGGCCAGAUCCCUUCCCCGAGGUCGCCUCUGCCCGCUCGACUGCCCCUACCGAACCCUAACCCACCGCCGCCCGACGGCAACCCAAUCUCCGGAUCCGGUGCCCGUGACGCGCCUCCCACAACCCCGCCGUGCGCCGCUUCCCCCGGCCACGGCUGCCGCGCGACGACGACGACGACGCCCUUGCCCUCCUCUUGCGCCUCCUCUUUGCUCCUCCUGCGCUGGCAGUGUAGCCGAGGCGUUGGUGGUGCACAAUGGUUCUCUUUGGGCCACAACGCCUGAGGUGGCAGCUGCGGAAGAGCAGCAGGUGAUUAGUCUCCUUAUUCUCCCAUUACAAACCUUGAUUGAUCUCCUUAAUGUUCAGUUCUAUGCAUGCGUAACUGGUAUGUCUUCAAUUUCUAUUAAGAUUACCUACUAUCAUCAAGUACAUAGUGUAGAUUAUGUCAUUUUAACUGAUUACGAGUAUUUGAACGGUUAGUACACCACUGAAUCUGAAUAUCAACUAUAAUGCUUGACAAAAUGUUGGUAGAUCAGUUUAACUUACAAUAUAUACCACAACUCAUAAUAAUAACUUGCAGAGUUUCUUGGAAAAGGUUGCUUGGUGCAUAAAGUUAGAAAAGCCUGCAGUAUAUACCACAACUCAAAAUGCUUGACGAAUCAUAAUUUCUUAAUUAAUAACUGGAGCACAACAAGGGAAAAAAGAAAGGCAGUACAUGGAAUGUUGCACAGUUUCUUUUUUUGUCUGCGAAAAAAUAGAGUAAAAACUGUAUUACAGAGUUACCUUAAAUUUGUAUGAAUACGAGUUACUUCUAUAGCAGUAUAACACAGUUUUUCCAUUUUUACCUUAAAUUUGUAUGAAUACGAGUUACUUCUAUUUGUGCUCCAGUAUACUCUGUAUGAGUUACUUCUAUAGAAAGAAAUAAAGUGAAUUUUCUUUUGGAUAUCUUCAUCAUUUCUAACUUUAUACAAAUAGUAGUGUAGCAGUGUUAGUUUACUGAGAAGUUUGUUCAUGGCCAAGAUAAUUUAUGCGUCACAAGAGAGUUUGUUGAACUAUAGUAUUUUGUGCUGCAGAAUUUGUGUGUUCAUAUACUUGUAUGACCAAAUUUGGUCCCCAAGAUGUGCCUCGAUUUUUACAGAAAAUAUGGAACCAGAAUUGCUGGCCUGAAAGUAUGCCCCAAUACAUUUAGAUUGCCAUCUUUCUUGUUCAACUUUCUAUUAAUCUUUACCAGUUAUGCACAAAACAAUUUUGUAGUUUUUAUAGUGGUGCCACACUGAAAAGUUUAGUCUUGGUGACAUUAUAAUUCCUUGAGCUCAAAUAGAUCCUUGCCAGCAUUUAGUAUGCUAUUGGAGUAAAGGCGGUGCCUAUUAAUCUGAUUGUGUUGGCACACUAUAAUGAAGCUACGUUUUCCCAAGAAAUAACCAUGCUGUAGGCUUCUAGGGUGGCUGUACUAUCAACUGGGUGUUGUUUGCAUAUGUCCCUAUCAGUAUCAGGUUCAUUCUUGCGCGUUUGUGGAUAGUUUUUUUUGCCUUCGUGUGCUAAUCAACCAUCUCUGCGCUUGCUGCAGACCAAGAUUCCGAGGAAGGGAGCCGUCAUCAAAGGGAAGAUCAACAACGACUCGGUUGACAAGUGAGUGCUAUCUGCCUUGUGCUGGUUGCCAUAUAACUUCAAUUGUAAUUUCAUAAAUAAAUGUAAGAAGCACCUGACUGCAAUUAGAAAUUCAGAAUUUCCCCUGUUGUUAGAGCUGGGCAUUUGUGUGCUACGCCUGCAAUGACUAAUUACUCUUGUGUACACGGUUAAGUGGCCUUCAUUUUAACUUGAUGCUACAUUUAUUCCUUUGUUUUUAGGAGCUGAUAAUAAGCACAAGUUGUUAUGUUCUAUUUAUAUUCAUGUUCAUACUUGAAAAAAUAGCAGUAUCUCUAUAUAAUAUUUAGUGUCACAUAAUUUCAGUAAAAACAACCCAAAAUAGUUUUAGCAUGGCCGGCCAAUUCCUGCUCAUCCAUACACACACAGCUGGCCAGCCGAUUAACAACAAAGGAUUGAAAUAUGCAGCUAUGAGUACAAAACGACCAAAACCCAUUGCUUGUAGUAUUACUAGUGUUUUUCUUGUGAAAUUCAUAUUGUAUAUCCUUCUCUCUUUCCUUGUGUUGAUCGUUAUAUACGGAGUUGUACUUCUGGGUGUGCUUAUAAUACCCUCUCAUAGGAAUGAUGACAUCGACACGGGGUUGUGGUGGCGGCGGCGGCGGCAACAACGACGACGAAAAUACAUCAACACGUGGCUACGAUGGUGACGAAGGAGAUACAUCAACACGUGGCUACGACGGCGACGACGAUGACGAAGAUACAUCAACACAUGGCUACCACUACUAGGGAAAACCUUAUACACAGAGGUAUAGCAGUAGCGCUGGUUAGAACAGAGCGCUAUUGCUAGUUACCCGUAGCGCGUGUCAACAAAGAGCGAUGCAGCUAUGGUUGUAGCAGUAGCGCGUCCGCAGGUAAAAGCGCUACUACUAUAAUUCCCACACGGGUGCCGGUAGGCUAGGAAUAGUAGUAGCGAUGCUGCAAAAAGAACGCUAUCGCUAAGUGCCUUGUAGUAGCGUGUUUUUUAUAUAGAGUGCUAUUGCUAAAAAAAGAAAAUAAAAUGGAAAAGAAAUAGAAAAGUAAAUAAAAAUGAAAGAAGUAGAAAAAGGAGAAAUGAAAAAGGAAAAUGUAAAUAAAAACAAAACAAAAACAAAAAUAAAGGAGAAAGGCAUAGCAGUAGCGUUUGUUGUCAGAAAGCGCUACAGUUACUCUAGCAGUAGCGCGUUUUGUACUCACACGCUAUUGCUACGUCCUUAGAUAAAAGGAAAA